AUUGAACGCUAGCGGGAUGCCUUACACAUGCCAGUCGAACGGAGUGGCGAACGGGUGAGUAAUGUAUCGGAACGUGCCCAGUAGCGGGGGAUAAAUACGCGAAAGCGUAGCUAAUACCGCAUACUAUUGGAGCGGCCGAUAUCGGAUUAGCUAGUUGGUGGGGUAACGGAUCCCAAAGGAGACGAUCCGUAGCUGGUUUGAGAGGACGACCAGCCACUCUGGGACUGAGACACGGCGCAGACUCCGACGGGAGGCAGCAGUGGGGAAUUUUUGAAAAUGGGGGAAACCCUGAUCCAGCCAGCCCGCGUGUGCGAUGAAGGCCUUCGGGUUGUAAAGCACUUGUGGCAGGAAAGCGUUACCUGCAGAAUAAGCACCGGCUAACUACGUGCCAGCAGCCGCGGUAAUUC
rnacentral:rRNA from 1 species